rnacentral:rRNA from 1 species
UGAGGAAUUUUGCGCAAUGGGGGGAACCCUGACGCAGCAACGCCGCGUGGGUGAUGAAGGCCUUCGGGUCGUAAAGCCCUGUCGGGCGGGAAGAACGUCCCUUCGGGGAAUGACGGUACCGCCAGAGGAAGCACCGGCUAACUCCGUGCCAGCAGCCGCGGUAAUACGGAGGGUGCAAGCGUUCUUCGGAAUUACUGGGCGUAAAGGGCGUGCAGGCGGGAGAGCACGUCUGAUGUGAAAGCCCGGGGCUUAACCCCGGAAGGGCAUUGGAAACUGCUUGUCUUGAGGUCUGGAGAGGAAGGGAGAAUUCCCGUUGUAGAGGUGAAAUUCGUAGAGAUCGGGAGGAACAUCAGUGGCGAAGGCGCCCUUCUGGACAGCAACUGACGCUGAGACGCGAAAGCGUGGGGAGCAAACA